rnacentral:rRNA from 1 species
GACGAACGCUGGCGGCGUGCCUAAUACAUGCAAGUAGAACGCUGAAGGAGGAGCUUGCUUCUCUGGAUGAGUUGCGAACGGGUGAGUAACGCGUAGGUAACCUGCCUGGUAGCGGGGGAUAACUAUUGGAAACGAUAGCUAAUACCGCAUAAUAGUAGAUGUUGCAUGACAUUUGCUUAAAAGUUGCAAUUGCAUCACUACCAGAUGGACCUGCGUUGUAUUAGCUAGUUGGUGGGGUAACGGCUCACCAAGGCGACGAUACAUAGCCGACCUGAGAGGGGGAUCGGCCACACUGGGACUGAGACACGGCCCAGACUCCUACGGGAGGCAGCAGUAGGGAAUCUUCGGCAAUGGACGGAAGUCUGACCGAGCAACGCCGCGUGAGUGAAGAAGGUUUUCGGAUCGUAAAGCUCUGUUGUAAGAGAAGAACGAGUGUGAGAGUGGAAAGUUCACACUGUGACGGUAUCUUACCAGAAAGGGACGGCUAACUACGUG